rnacentral:ncRNA from 1 species
AGAUGUGCUCGUAGAGUAACGAGCAGGGUAAACAAAAGAAAUAGCUCAUUAAGA